UACGGGGGGGGCAAGCGUUGUUCGGAAUUACUGGGCGUAAAGGGCGCGUAGGCGGCCUGCUAAGUCGGAUGUGAAAUCCCUCGGCUCAACCGAGGAACUGCAUCCGAUACUGGCGGGCUUGAAUCCGGGAGAGGGAUGUGGAAUUCCUGGUGUAGCGGUGAAAUGCGCAGAUAUCAGGAGGAACACCGGUGGCGAAGGCGGGUCUCUGGGCCGUAACUGACGCUGAGGAGCGAAAGCAUGGGGAGCGAACAGG
rnacentral:rRNA from 1 species